rnacentral:rRNA from 1 species
AUACGUAUGUCGCAAGCGUUAUCCGGAUUUAUUGGGCGUAAAGCGCGUCUAGGCGGCUUAGUAAGUCUGAUGUGAAAAUGCGGGGCUCAACCCCGUAUCGCGUUGGAAACUGCUAAACUAGAGUACUGGAGAGGGAGGCGGAACUACAAGUGUAGAGGUGAAAUUCGUAGAUAUUUGUAGGAAUGCCGAUGCGGAAGCCAGCAGUCUGGACAAAUACUGACGCUAAAGCGCGAAAGCGUGGGUAGCAAACAGGAUUAGAUGCCCGGGUAGUCCACGCCGUAAACGAUGAUUACUAGGUGUUGGGGGUCGAACCUCAGCGCCCAAGCUAACGCGAUAAGUAAUCCGCCUGGGGAGUACGUACGCAAGUAUGAAACUCAAAUGAAUUGACGGGG